rnacentral:rRNA from 1 species
UACGUAGGGGGCAAGCGUUGUCCGGAUUUAUUGGGCGUAAAGCGCACGUAGGCGGAUCUUUAAGUCAGAGGUGAAAGCCUGGAGCUCAACUCCAGAACUGCCUUUGAUACUGGGGAUCUCGAGUCCGGGAGAGGUGAGUGGAACUGCGAGUGUAGAGGUGAAAUUCGUAGAUAUUCGCAAGAACACCAGUGGCGAAGGCGGCUCACUGGCCCGGAACUGACGCUGAGGUGCGAAAGCGUGGGGAGCAAACAGG